AACUAAACAAACCUGUCCUGGAUCCUGAUGUGCCAGAAAUGCACCUGCCAAGCAGCACUUCAUGGUUUGCCCUGAGGUACAUUUCAAAGGGCAGAGCAGCACGACUGGGGACGUUGCAGUCUGCAGAAAUGCCGACACCUGGCACUUGCUUUGUCGUCCCUGCCACUGUGCAGGCUGCAAACUUGGUGGCGAUCAGUUGGAUUAAAAAAAUGAAAUACGGUCUUGCUAAGUUGCCCAGGCUGGACUCAGAAUGCUAUUCUGUCUCAGCUUCCUAGAGUGCUGGGAUUACAGGCAUGAGCUGUGGAGUUCCAAAUGUGACGAUGAAGAUUUAGUUCCUGCUCACUCCCAGCCCCCACCACAUUCAUGGACACCUCCUGUCUCCUAUCUUCCAACAUAAAUUAUACUGAAGUUAGAUUCAUGUUCGCUGUUUACAUUAUUAAUUAUCAUUGCUUAGAGCUGAAUCAUGCAGUAAACUAGACUUUUCCUCUCCAAAGUUAAGUAUGCCUUGUUUUGUUUUGUUUUAUCAUGCUGGGGAUUGAACUCAGAGCCUUAUACAUGCAGGGCAAGGGCUCUACUCCUGAGCUACACCCCAGGCUCACCAUUGCCUUUUGGGGGUCUUCUGCUCUACACAUGUAUCAGCAGCUGCACUAAGUCCUCACCCAUGCUAGUACUGCUCAGUACAAUCAAAUACACUGGGAUUUCAAUACACUGUCUUCUAAAGAAAUGUGUUUGGGAGACUCACUGCCUAAGUUGGAGUUGUGUCACUUUGAGUCUUCCAGGAGUAGACAGCCCAAAGGGCAAGAGAGUGAGUGAUUGGGGGAACACCUCUGAAAAGAUGGGGGAAGGAGGAGGCACUGGCAGGAGGAUUCAGCUCCAACCUGGGCAGCGACAGGGGAGGGCAGGGGACUGAGCAGGAGCAGCCCGGUCUGAGUGACCUCACUGGAGAAACCUUGUAGCGGGCACGGGGGGCCAGGCCUGGUGAGCUGGCCUUGGCCUGAGCUGGGGUGGAGGCCAGCACGGGCCCUCUCCUCCUUCCAGGUUCUGUGCUGCAGGGUGAGCUGAGCCAUGCAUCCCAAGGCUCACAGGCUAAGGAGCCCCGGCUUCCGGACAACUUCCGCCUCCUCCAUGGAGGAGCUCCAGGGAGCCACUUAGACCACCACAGCGUCUACGCUGCUUCCUGCCACCCUCUCCGGGGGGGAUUUCUCCAUGGCUUCCCCAGAAAGAAGGUCCCCUUGCCUCUCAAAACUGUCUUUACUCCACUCUAUGUUUAAUUGGUGGUUGGCUGAGGAUGGGAGUCUCAAAACAAUUUUCCUUCAAAAUGUGCAGGUGCUCUAUUCCCUUCCGUCUUCUCGAGUGGUUCUCGAUAACUGUAAAGUCAGACAAAGAUGCUUGAUGCUUGACUCUGGUGUUCUGAAAUUUCAUGGUAAUGAGAAUUAGCAAAAUAGUCUGAAUAUCUUGGGACUCCUACUCUGAACACUCAUGUUCAUAUUUGAGAAUUUUAUAUGCACAAUUUCUUUAAUGUUGUUGUCCCAUCCAUUUUUAAAAAACUUUUUUUGGUACGGGGUAUCAGACCCACGACCUUGUGCUUGCAAGGCAGAUGGCAGAACCACUGAGCUAAAUCCCUGGCCCUUCCCAUCCAUUUUCUCAGGUCAUUUCUCUUGGACCCUGAUUCAAUCCCACAAUUUUCUUAUUUGUGAGUAUGUUUAACCUUCUACUUUUCCUUCUUUUUUUGUUUCCACUGUAAUUUCUGAGAUUUUUUUUUUUCAUUUGUAAUUCCAAAGUCUCUCAGAGAUUUUUUUUUAAACAGUUCUGUUCUAUUUUAAUGUUAAAACACAUAGCUAUUCUCAGGAAAACCUCUUGUAAACAUUUCACAUUUCAUGGACAGAAUAUCCUAGUGUUUUUUUCAGAGGAAAUCAAUGAUAGUUAAAAACACCCUUUUCUUCUCUUUUUCCUUUACUUUUAUUCUUCCUGGCUACUUUGCUUUGAUCUCCAUUUUUGUGUUACCAGGCUCCUCCGAGGACCGUGCUGGGUGCAUGGGCAUGGCCGUAGGGAGACCUGGGUGUGCUGUGCUGUGCUGUGGGAAAACUCAGCGACGUCUGGAGUUUUGUGUCUUCUCGUCAUCUUUCCUUUUGGAGUGGAUUUUAGGGUUCCUGGUCCUUGGUGGAACCCUGGCUACUGGCGCAGUGAGGACCAAGUGUGGCUGAGCCAUCAGCACUAGGAGGCAGUGCCCAGCCCUGCUGUCCUCUGAACUCAGCCCUGCCCUUCGCCUCUGUGCUGCUCUCCACAGGGAAUGGCCCCCAGCAGGGCGGAAGGGUCGAGCCAAGCGUGGGUGCACUGAGUGUCUUGAGGGACACGUAAGCAUACCUUUAGUCAAAUCUUUAGUUGCUGCCUCUUCCAGAGGUCCCUGGAUGCCAUUUCCACAGCCUUGGGCUGUCUGCUGUUAAUGUCAGGGCCUUCUCGGCUUCCCCCUACUGCCUUACUUAAUUUUCUUGGAUGUGCUAAGUCAGUUACCAUGAAUCUUUCCAGUUCUCCAAUUUCUGCCCCCCCUUUCCUUUUUUUCCUUUUGCCAAACUCUGCAGGUUUUCAUGAGCGCGUGGAGGCUAAUGUACAUGUGCACUCACUACACUAAGCUGCAAGUCAGCCAUGAUGUACUCUCAUAGCACACUGAGUCUCUCUUCUCUAAUAAUGUAAAUUCACUUCUAAUUUCUCUUAAAUCUAAAACAGAUCCUUAUACAGUAAAAUUGGUAUUCAUAUUUGCUAUGAAUCUCACUUUGGGAAUAAUGAAGGCAGAGCCACUGCACGGUGCCGCCAGAAUGUGCUGCGGGCCUCAGAGCUCUGUCUAUAAAUGACUACGCGUUAUACUGAGCAAAUAAUCACUCUUAACAAUUUAAUAUGUAGCCUGGAAUCUUUCUUAACAUCUAUGGAAAAGAAAAAAUUCCAUAUUCAUGUGCUAUCUGUUCUCGUUUCUACUUUUUUUUGGUACUGGGGAUUGAACUCGGGACCUUGCACUUGCGAGGCAGGUGCUGGAACCACUGAGCUAAAUCCCCGGCCCCCCGUGUUUCUCUUCUUAAGCAAAGAUCAGAACACUGUCACCAUCUCACUACCCUCUCUCCCCAGAAAUAAGACCCAGCUGGAGAAUAAUCAGCCUUGAAAACUAGAGAGCAAACAUCCCAGGCCCCAUCAGCCGGUCCUUGCCUUCCCUGCCUCACAGAGCAGCCACUGAGCAAGACAGCAGUGAAGCCAGGGGAGGCGAGGACGGGCUGAUGGGGCUGGUGUGUUUGCUUGCUAGUUUUCAAGGCCGGUUAUUUUCCAGCAGGGUCUUACUUUGGAGGGAAUGGUGUGUGCGGCGUCGGGCCUCCUGGAUCUACAGAGUACACAGCCUGGUGUGGACUGGCGUUGCUUUGGCACUUGCAGUGAUAACGACACUUACAGCCUACGCGGGAAAGAAUGCUGAUCUUGAAGUCAGUUUGAGACUGACCUCUUACAAGCAGAAGUCUGAGAAGUUUGGCGGACCAUUCACACCUGAGCUUCUUCCUCUGCAAAGCGGGCAGGGCCCUAACUGGGAGAGCUAUCAGGAGAUGCAGGGUGCUGUGCACAGUGCAAUCACUACUCAUACCCUCGUGGCUAUUUUGAACAUAGCAGGUGCUCAAUGCUGAGCUGGUUCCACAAGCUAGAAGUUACCUUCCAGCUCCAAUCUAUCUCACUGCUGUUGACAGGGUGCCCAUUGUAGACAUUUACCUUCUUGUUGGAGAUAGAUUGCUGAGGUUUGGGACUUGCUCUGUCACUAACUACAUGGUGACGCAGGACAAGUCAAAGUGUGUAAGAGGGAAGUAGUAACGCAUGGGUUUCUAAUGUUCAGCUUAACUUGAAAACACAAGUUUAAAAAUUCCACUGAAUUUGGUGAUAAAUGAUAUGAUAUGGGGGAUUUACCUCAAAAUCACCAGAGGGGUGGGAUGGGGGAGUGAGUGGGUUUAGAUGAAAUGAGAUUGUCCACAGCCUUGACACUGCCGAGAUGAGGGGCUGGUGUGGGGUGUGUGCGGGUCCCUCUGCCUGCGUGCACAUGUGGUGUGUGGACACCUGCAGAACCAAAGACGGAACCCGAGGCCUCACGCUUGCUAGGCACAUCUCCACGACUGAGUGACACUCCCAACCCAUACUUCCCUAUAUUUUUGGAAUUCCCGUAAUAAAAUGUUAGAAAAACAUCAGCAAAUAAAAGAUUUCUUCAAA